rnacentral:rRNA from 1 species
CAGCAGCCGCGGUAAUACAGAGGGUGCGAGCGUUAAUCGGAUUUACUGGGCGUAAAGCGUGCGUAGGCGGCUUCUUAAGUCGGAUGUGAAAUCCCUGAGCUUAACUUAGGAAUUGCAUUCGAUACUGGGAAGCUAGAGUAUGGGAAAGGAUGGUAGAAUUCCAGGUGUAGCGGUGAAAUGCGUAGAGAUCUGGAGGAAUACCGAUGGCGAAGGCAGCCAUCUGGCCUAAUACUGACGCUGAGGUACGAAAGCAUGGGGAGCAAACAGGAUUAGAUACCCGGGUAGUCCCUGUCUCUUAUAC